rnacentral:lncRNA from 1 species
AGAACCCUCCACUAACAAAACUAUCAUUUUAUUCCACAAAAACAAAUAGUCCAUAUCAACUCAAAGCACAUACCAAAACUUAGACAAAUGGUAAUGGAAAAAGGGCAAAAGGAAUUAAAUAAAGAAAGAAAAGAGAUGAUCAUAUAAAAGUUAAACCACAUCUCUUCUUCUUUGUCACCCACUUUCUUCUUCUUCUUCUUCAUUGGGGCGGUUCUCAUUGGUCAGUUGCCCCCACGUGUACUCAUUUUAUUGGCACUCAUAAUGGACUUUGGGACCCUAUGUGUCCCCUCUCAGUUCUCUUUUCUUUCUUUAUUUAUUUUAAGAAAAAAUAAUUGUACUUAAUAUAUAUAUGUGUGUGUGUG